ACCCAAGUGAAGGUACCUGGCAGGUAACGGGACUGCUGAGUCUGAAGCUGGGGGAAGAAACCUGAAUUGGAGAUUGAAUUGGAGAAUCAUUAACAUAUACGCAGUAGUUAAAAUCCUGAGCGGGGAUAAGUUCACCAAGAAGAGUAUCUUUAUGAAAAGAGCAGCAAGCUGGAAGCAGGCACCUGGGGGACACGAGCAUGGACCGAAAGCAAGUUUCUGGGUUACCAGGAUGGCAGCUCCCUUGCAGACUUUUCUUUGAGGUGGUGAUUUAAUUGGGAUUCUACAAAUGGUCAUUAAACUGCCUCAUCUAUGUUCAUACCCAAGGAAGGGAAAGUAGAGCUGCUAUUGAAGAAGAUGAGACUAAAUAAAGCUCAGAGAGGCCAAAGGUCACACCUAAUGCCACCCAACACAGCAGAACUUCAGCCUGUUUGCUCUCAUUCUACCUUCAGUUAAAGCAGCUGCCCUUCUCGGCACCCACCUCGGUGACCACUGUACUGUACACCCCCACCCCUCCCCAAAGCUGCUGCAGCCCACCGAGGCUGCCCUGACUUCAGGUCUCACCACAAAAGCUUCUUUUGCAGACACACAGCUCUCCAUCUGACUGUGCAGAAAACAGCAAACACCUCCUUGUAUUAACACUGCCACCAAGAACGC